rnacentral:ncRNA from 1 species
UUGAGCUGGAUGCAGGGAGAUCUGCUUGUCCAGUUCAAGGGAGGCUCGGUUGAGUAAUUCUUUUUUCGUAGAGAAAAAAGCGCAAUCCAACUGUUCUAUCCCAU